rnacentral:rRNA from 1 species
AGGGCAUACGGCGGAUGCCUAGGCGCCAUCAGCCGAUGAAGGACGCGGUAAGCUGCGAAAAGCUACGGGGAACUGCAAGCAAGUAUUGAUCCGUAGAUGUCCGAAUGGGGAAACCCAACUACCGUUAUGGGUAGUUAUCCGAAAGGAAGGGAACCCGGGGAACUGAAACAUCUAAGUACCCGGAGGAAGAGAAAUCAAACGAGAUGCCCACAGUAGCGGCGAGCGAAGAGGGCAGAGCCCAAACCAGAGAGCUACGGCUCUUUGGGGUUGAGGAUCAGCGUAAUCAAAGUCAGGCCCAGUCGAAUUACCUGGAAAGGUAAACAAGACAGUGUGAAAGUCACGUAGACGAAGGGCAGAGCGGCGAGGCUGAAAUCCAGAGUACCACGAGGCACGAGGAAUCUUGUGGGAAACAGGGGGGACCACCCUCCAAGGCUAAACACUGAAUGGCGACCGAUAGCGCAUAGUACCGUGAGGGAAAGGUGAAAAGAACCCCGGGAGGGGAGUGAAAGAGAACCUGAAACCAUAUGCCUACAAGAAGUCAGAGCCCGUUAAAGGGUGAUGGCGUGCCUUUUGUAGAAUGAACCGGCGAGUUGCGACAGACUGCGAGGUUAAGGAGGAAAGACCGGAGCCGAAGCGAAAGCGAGUCUUAAUAGGGCGAAAGUAGGAUGUUGCAGACCCGAAACCGGGUGAUCUAGCCAUGAGCAGGUUGAAGUUGAGGUGAAACUCAAUGGAGGACCGAACCGACUACCGUUGAAAAGUUAGCGGAUGACUUGUGGCUAGGGGAGAAAUUCCAAUCGAACCCGGAGAUAGCUGGUUCUCCCCGAAAUAGCUUUAGGGCUAGCGUCGGAAAGAACCUUAGUGAAGGUAGAGCACUGAAUGUGUGAUGGCCCCAUCCCGGGGUACUGAAUACAAUCAAACUGCGAAUGUCAUUAAGGAUGUCCGGCAGUCAGACUGUGAGUGAUAAGGUCCAUGGUCAAGAGGGAAACAGCCCAGACCGCCAGUUAAGGUCCCAAAAUACAGGCUAAGUGGAAAAGGAUGUGGGGAUGCCCAGACAACUAGGAGGUUGGCUCAGAAGCAGCCAUCCUUUAAAGAGUGCGUAACAGCUCACUAGUCGAGUGACCCUGCGCCGAAAAUGUACCGGGGCUAAGCCUGAUACCGAAACUGCGGAUUGUAGGAAACUAUAGUGGUAGGGGAGCGUUGUAUACGAGCAGAAGCCGUACCGUGAGGAGCGGUGGAUUGUAUAGAAGUGAGAAUGCCGGUGUGAGUAGCGAGAUGUAGGUGAGAAUCCUACACACCGAAAGCCCAAGGAUUCCAGGGGAAGGUUCGUCCGCCCUGGGUAAGUCGGGACCUAACGCGAGGCCGAAAGGCGUAGUGGAUGGAAAGCAGGCGAAAGAUUCCUGCACCCGUAUAUGGAGCGAAGGAGUGACGGAGACGGAUAGUGUGACCCUCUUAAUGGAUUGAGGGCGAAGCGAAGCGGCUGGUUACCAGGCAAAUCCGGUAACCAAAAGGCUAGAGCGUGACAGGUAAGCGAAAUCUUAGGAAAGUAGCGAAGCACAUGAUGACGGCUUCCAGGAAAAGCUUCUGGCAAUGCAUAUGCGGCCCGUACCAAAACCGACACAGGUGGGCAGGGAGAGAAUCCCGAGGUGAGCGAGAGAACUGUUGCCAAGGAACUCGGCAAAAUGACUCCGUAAGUUAGCGAGAAGGAGUGCUUAAGCAAUUAAGCCGCAGUGAAGAGGCCCAAGCGACUGUUUAACUAAAACACAGCUCUCUGCGAAGUCGCAAGACGAAGUAUAGGGGGUGACACCUGCCCGGUGCUGGAAGGUUAAGAGGAUCUGUUAAGAGCGAUCUGAAGCAGUGAUCCGAAGCCCCAGUGAACGGCGGCCGUAACUAUAACGGUCCUAAGGUAGCGAAAUUCCUUGUCAGGUAAGUUCUGACCCGCACGAAAGGCGUAACGAUUUGGGCGCUGUCUCAGCUGUAGACUCGGUGAAGUCUUAGUACCUGUGAAGAUGCAGGUUACCCGCGACUAGACGGAAAGACCCCAUGGAGCUUCACUGCAGGUUGAUAUUGGGAUUUGAUGCAGCAUGUACAGGAUAGGUAGGAGGCAAAGAGAUGGAUACGCCAGUAUUCAAGGAGCCGCUGUUGGGAUACUACCCCUGUUGUAUUGGAUUUCUAACCGGACGACGUAGAGCCGUUGACGGGACAGUGUCAGUCGGGCAGUUUGACUGGGGCGGUCGCCUCCCAAAGAGUAACGGAGGCGCCCAAAGAUACCCUCAGCUUGGAUGGAAACCAAGCGCAGAGUGCAAAGGCAAAAGGGUGUUUGACUGCGAGACCCACAAGUCGAGCAGGGACGAAAGUCGGGCUUAGUGAUCCGGCGGUGCUGAAUGGAAAGGCCGUCGCUCAACGGAUAAAAGCUACCCUGGGGAUAACAGGCUGAUCUCCCCCAAGAGUUCACAUCGACGGGGAGGUUUGGCACCUCGAUGUCGGCUCA